rnacentral:SRP_RNA from 1 species
GCUGGGUGCGAUGGCUCACGCCUGUAAUCCCAGCACUUUGGGAGGCUGAGGCAGGAGGAUCACCUGAGGUCAGGAGUUCAAGACCAGCCUGGCCAACAUGGUGAAACCCCGUCUCUA